CGCUAAUAGAAGAGCAUUUAGUGGUCGCUGUUUCGCAGACGGCUCGGCUUUAACGUUACCCGGGAGCCUUGAAUUUUCUGUUAGGAACAACUAAAGUUUGCUAGUCACUGUAAAGUUAUGCAGAGACACGCAAGAUGUAAAGUUAGCUAGCUAACAACGUUAGUAAAAAGGAAACAUUCUGGAGUAAAAAUCAUGGAGUCCGGCGUUGACUUUCCGUCUCCUGAGUCGACAGUGACCUCCCUGCUGUCCAGCUCGGGUCACCUGAGGAGCAGCCUCCUGGCUCCUGAUCUCAACACCACCUUCAGAUACAGAGACAAGAUCUAUGACUCAGCCACGGCAGCGUUGGACGCCUACAUCACAGACUUUGAAAGGAGUCGUCAGAACAGCGGGUCGUUGACAGGAAGUCUGGUUCUGCCACAUAGUCCGCCCUGCACGCCAAGCAGACCCCGAGCGAGCACGCUCAGAAACAAAGAUGUUCUUAGGGAGCGUUUGACCGAGAGGGAGUUGGACUUCUUGAACCUCCCUGUCAGCUCUCUACAUCACCGUGGCAACCGGGACAGGCUCUCCAUGACGACAGACGAGCUGCUGUCUAUACCUUACGACGGCUCGAUGCCUGUCACUCACACCUCUGCCUUCAUCCAUGGUCUCCUUUCCCAGUCUGGACCCUCCCAGCCUUUCUCCUCUUCCUCCAGACUCGCACAGAGAACCUGGGACAGACCUAGCAGCCACGCCGCCCUCCACAUGAACCACCACCCUCAUCCAACCAGGACGCCCCGGAGCUCUAGGUGCAGAGAAAGACCAGGGGCAGUCAAGUUUAAUCCAGAUGUUGACAUCUCUUCAGUCAGCUACUAUAGGAACUCUGCACACAGAGCAUCAAGAUCCGAGUGGGCAGAGCCGUCUUCAUCCCUCCACCUCCCCCGCUGGUUCACCAGUAACAAGAGUGACAUGGACUGUUCUGGAAUCACCAGUGUGCCCGACCUGAAGUACCCAGCCUGGGUCCAACGCUGUGAUCUCAGCGAGCCGCCACCGUCCUCAGAGGCAGAGCUGUGGGAUGACCACGGUACAACACCGUCUGCACGCCACCAACACUGCCAAGCUCCCAGAACUCCGUCCUGGGUAGCAGAGCUAGAGGAUGAUGAUCCAGACCACAAACCCAAGCAGGUUGACAGCCAGCUGACUCUCAGAGAUCUGAGGCUUCAGUUUGCUGAACAGAUUUCUCUACUGGCUGCAGAGAGAAACAGCUCUGACAUCAUGGGAACACUGUUCAAAGACAACCGGAUCGAGUCUCUGAUCCAGAAGGCCGAUCAGGUGUUGAACUCUCUGUCUCAGAGUUCUGGAGAAGCAGAUCCAGGCAGUCCUGCGGAUUAUGUUGAAGAAGCCGUCAGUCCAGCAAACACUGAGGAGCUGCUGCUCUGUUCUUCCUCACACACCCGUCCAUUCACUCAGUACUUUGCAACCGCAGCAGGAGGGGGCAUCCCAGAGGCUCUGACUGACACUAAAGCUCAGGCUCAGGUCUCUGGUCUCCAUAGAAACAGCAUCUUGAAGCAGCCUGGUCCAGUGGAGGCUCUGAAACAGAUGCUGUUCAGACUGCAGGCGGUGGAGGCAGAGGUUCAGCGGCAAACGCAGGCAUCGGUAGCUCCAACGUUCUCCGACGAGGACGGGCUGCAGACAGAGAAGACUCCAGAGAAGCAGAGGCCUGAGAGUGCAGCAGAGCUGGAGAAUUUUCCUGGUGGACCAUCACUGCAGCGAGCUAUGCACCACCUGAGCCGUCUGAAGGUGCUGGUGGAAGAAAGAGAGAAGAAACACCCAGAGAAAGAAGAGGAGAAGGACGAAGAUGAAGGACGCUACUCCUCGUCUUCUGCUGAAGGACUCCCCUGCACUCAGCAGAGCCCCACCUGAAGCUAAAGGCCGGUUUACCAGAGCGGUGCACCUCCAGGCGGGGUCUCCUUCGGUCAGUGGUCUCACUGGGCUCGCCCUCGCGUCCAGCAGCAACAAUCAGCAGACGUUUCUGCCUAAACUCUGCCCUGGAUAGUGAAGGAAGCUGGGAAAAUCGGAGUGUCAUUUUUCCAAGUCUAAACUGUCCCUAUAUCCUGAGUCCGAUCCUCUGGGCCUCCUCCUCGUGCUCCUAGUGGCCCAAGAACAAACGACCAAUCAGAGCCGAGGAUUCUCUGCAGCUAGAGAAUCCUAAUUCAGAUAAAAUGUUUCAUCUGCUCAUCUAACUCAGCACAGAUAAGAGGAUUGUUGUUUAUUAAAUGUCGCCGUCUCUGUGACCACGUUUACAUGCUCUUAAUAUUCCGUUUUAUUACCUUAUUUUAAAAAAGACCAUAUUCCGACUGAGCUGUUUACAUGUACUAAUGGAAGUGAAUAUUCAAUUAAUAUUCCCAUUGUAGCUGCGCAAAACACGUUGUUUUUCUCUUCCCCCCCCAACGUUGUGGUGAUCUGGUUGGACCGUGCGAGCCCAGCGUCCCUCUUUCAUUCCUUCAACCAGCUUCUUGAAAAGGUCGCCGUGGUGACGUGUGUUCAUAUCCAAACACCUGCUGAUAUCAAAGUCUUUGAUAAUGUUUAACCCUCAUGUUGUCCUUGGGUCAAAUUUGACCCGUUUUCAGUUAAUUGUUUUAUUUUGGCACAAAAAAUGGGCCGUCCACAUUAAAAAUAUCAAAAAGCUUUGGCAAGAACAUCAAAAAAAGCACCCUAAACAUUAAAUAAGUAACAAAAAAUGUCGGAAAAAGCGAUAAUAAUGUUGAGAAAGUGACCAAAACGGUUUUAGUUUUUUUUCAUGGUUGAUGGGAAGACAACACGAGGGUUAAAAGUAGCAGUUUCUCCUUCUCAGGUCUGCAGUAGAGAUGUAACAGUAUGAAAAUGUAACCUCACGGUUCUAGUGACCAAAUUUAUCACGGUUUUUGAUAUUACCGCGUUUAUUAAAAAAGUGUGUUCAAUUUUCCUUUAGCAGCAACCUUUUUCCUGCACGUUCUGCAGACGAGAUAACUAUAUCCAAUCAGCUGUCCUUCUGCUUUCUUAUCAUUAGGGACGUCCAAAGAAUGCUUCUAUAACCACAAUAAUACCAGGAUAUCCCACGCCUUAAUUGGAAAAUGCUACAUUCGGAAUAUCCAACCGGAAUAUGUUUACAUGACCCGUAUCAAAUUCGGAAUAGUGUCAUAUAUAUGUCAUAUAUGUCUAUUAUGAAUAUUUGUGCGCAUGUAAAUGUACUCCCUGAAAAGUCUCUCUAUAUUUAACAUCUUCCUAAAUACUGCAAGCAUCUGUGGAGCUGCAACGUGAAUGUGCCAAUAUGAAUAUGGAUUCUAGUUCCUGCACUGAAAAUGUUUUGAUGAUAACUCGUUGUCAUGGCGACUGUAAACAUACCCACAUAACCAUGCUAACCUUGCCAUAUUAUAGUGCUAAAUGCUACAUGCUGAAGUUAAGCGUAUUUCCGUGCUAAAAACUUAAAUGUUACAUGUUAAACGUCACACAUGACGCUAAACCUCGACAACAAGGAUGAUGUGAAGAAAAGAACUUUUGUAACUAUAUACUUUUGGCA